UUUUCCUCUCCCCGUGCUCUCACCGCCACCCCCACGUCCUCUCUACUCGCUCUCUCUCUCCCUAAAACUACUCCACCACCAUCUUCGGCUUCCUCAGAAAAGAACUACCACCACUGUGUGGGAUCUUUCUCUCUCUAGUUUGUUACCACUUUCCACGCUUAACUGGCGAGAGAGGAGGAAGGAAGAGGGGAGGAGGCAGGAGGGGGUUACGUAUUUUUCCCCCCUUUCUUGCUUCUUGGCUCUUUAAUAUUCUUCUCGGGAUUGGCACCAAUCUUGCCUUCCUUCCCUAUAAAUACCGACCAUCAUCUCCACCACCACCACCAUUGCUCUCCUUCCUUUCUCUGUCCUUUCUUUCUUUUGCUUCUCUGCUGUUCAUGGUGGAUGGUUUCUUUUCGUGUUCUUGCUUUCCUUUUCCUUGGUUGGGCCUUUUGGGGAAAGGGAAGGGGGGAAGUGGGUGCUAAGUAGCGGAGAACAUGUGACUCUCUUUGUGCUUUUCCACAGCUUUCUUGAACUGCAAAGGGACGGCGGAUUGCGUGCUGUUGUGGCGAAGCACGAGUUGUUUGGUCGAUUGCGGUUCAAUAAAGCUGUGGGAAGAUGCAGAGAGAGUCAGAAGGCGACAUCGGCGCCUGUUUCUCUCCCAACCUGGUGGUGCUUCGAUUGUAUUCUGUACAAAAUCCUCGGGUGACAGAAGAGGAAACAAGAAGUCCAUCUCUCUCUCUUUUUUUCUCUUUUUCACAAACACGCACACACACGCAGACGCAGGCGCACAGAUAGUUGGUUGGCUUUAUGUGAAUUCCAGCAUGUUUUGUUGGGUAGUCUUCUCUUGGGAAGAUGAUGCACAGUCAGAAGAGAAGGCAACGACUGCUGUCUUCUCAGAAAGAAAUUUCUACAUGUUUCAUGGGUUGAGCGGCCAACAGUUUUUUCGAGGCACGAAACCUGAAGUUGAUGAAGAAAACUGUGCGGCGGCCUGAAAAAAUGAUCGAGCUUGCCUCAAAAGUCUGAAAAAAUGAUCGAGCUUGCCUCAAAAGUAACCCAACCUUUUUCAGAGAGCAGUACCCUGCCGAGAAGCACCGACUGAAGAAAAGACUUGGGCUCUCCCUUGAUGUUCGCCAUUUAUGCUAGGGCAAAGAAGCGAGAAUAAUUGACAUUGAAGCGUCACACUUCUUGUUUAUUAUCUUUUGAGAAGUUUUCAUUCAAUUCUUUCACAAAGCAGUAUUGGAAUGCACCCAUAGAUCGGGUUGUGAUGAAAUUUUUUGCUUCAUUUUCAAUGUUACGUAAUUGACAUGAAUGUGUCGUCCA